UCUCCAAGCGCCUCUCUCUGUCUCUCAACCCACAUUUUUCUUCUCCUUUUAUCAUUUUCAGAAAAGUUCCAAGGUCAUUGUUCUUGGGCUAGAGCAUUACCCGUCCAUUUUCGGGUAAGAACGUCUGUCUCCCUCACUUUAUUCUCCGAUCUCCCUCUUGUCUGAUUUGACUUGCAAAUCCGUCCAAGAUCCUCAACGUUCGAGUUUGACCAAGUUCAAACGUGAAACAAAAAUCCCGCCCAAAACACUACUCUAAGAACCAUAAUUUGUACCUAUAAAUACUAACGUUUUGGAGCCCUAGAGGGAGGAACUUUUUAGCCGCCAUUUAACUCUUUGAAAAUACUCUCAUCAUCUUCAAAAACCUUCUUUUCUUUCUUGGUGAGCUUUAGCCACGAAAAAGGUAUUCAAACUCAUCCCCCUCUAGUUUCGAAACUGUUCAUAACGAGAGGGUAGGUUCGAGGCCCCGACGUCCCCGUUCAUUGCUCCCACAAGAGGUAAAAUCCGGUCCUCUUCUUACUUUUUCUUCAGUUAAAAUUCUAUGAUUCACUUAGAAAUAUCAUGUUUAUAAGGUACUAUUAAAUUCAAAUUUAUUUGUGCUUAAGUCAUGGAAUUAGCUACUGUUUUGAACCUCUAAAUGUUAACAGUAAUGUUAUGGUUUAAACUGAGCUCGUCUCUUAUGCUUACAUCUACAUGUUAAUUCAUCUUGGUAUAAGUCAAGCCAUGAGAAAUAUGAAGAUUAAAAAAGAAUGGGCUCUGUUUAGUUUUCUUGAUAAUAGCUAAAUCUUGUAAUACGGAAGCUGUGUGUUAUUUAAUAUGGUAGUGCAUUGUGCAUCUAACUGUGGUCAUAUAUAUAUAUAUAUAUAUAUAUAUAUAUAUAUAUAUAUAUAUAUUUACCUUUUACUUUGUCCAUCUUACAUAAUCAUUCCAUAUGUUAAAGUGACAUAUUUUCUUUAGUAGCAAAAAAUGUGCUUCCAAGAUCGUGCAAAAAAUGUUUGUUUUGAUAUAGUGUAAGCAUUUUAAGAAUUUGCUUAAAUUCCUCAGUUACUGUACUUGAUAACAUGCUCCUAUCCAAGUGUUAUAUGAAUAUUUAAUUUCUUAUUUGUUUAAAAAUUAAAAACAAUGUGAUUUCUUAUCCCGUCUUCAUAUGUUAUUGAUAACCAGAUUCCUACUCUGACUAUUUUUCUCUUUUCUAUAUUUGCAUGGCAUACCGGAGCCAAAGAGUCGCACUUUAUGACUCAAUAUCGCUGCUAAAUUCGAAACGUGCAUCUGCAUCUUCCUUUGCGUCGUCUCUUCUCCCUUGAUAUACACCCGAAGAGAGGGUUGAGUCAAACGGCGAACCCCAAAAACUUUGCUUUUCUACAGGAGCCAAAAUAUGGCUUUACUUAAUCCUUUUUUUUUUAUUCCCUAAUGUUACUUAUUUGCUAGUGUGAUUUCCAUUUUAUUUGCGUUUGGUAAUUAGUUUUUAAUAGCUUUACUUUACUUAAUUAUGUAAAGUCCUUUUAGUCGACACUAAGAUACUUAUUUGCUCACUUAUGUGUUGCCUUUAGUCAAGAAUGUGAUUUUCGUCGAGUACGUCUUAAUUGCUUUUCCUACCCAAAAAUGUCAUUGGUGUCGAAUGAAUUAAGCUAACUGGUUUUUUUGGCUUUUAGUCACUUGUUUAAUUUAGAAAGCCAGUAGGUUCGCUCUAUCAACUUUGGCCUUCAACUCGAGAAUAACAUUUAUUUCAAAAUAACAAAGAUGGUAGUAGACCCAUCUUUAAUCUAAAGCAAUGUUUUGGCCUUGGUCCUCUUUUAACCUUAACUACUUUCUUAUACAAAAAUGUAUUUGGAAAUCUGAAGCUUUUUCCAUUUUUCAACUCUUAAUCAAGAGUCAUUUUGUUGAAGUGUUGUUACUUCCAUCAAUCUAAGGAGUAGUACGAAUUAUUUCUUUUUUCCAAAGUUAACUUAGUUACCAACUUAGCCUUUUUAAUCUAACUCCAAGUUUGGCUGGUUAACCGUCUUUUAAUGGAUUUUAAAGGGUGUUUAAUACUUUCCCUUGAGAUUAAUUAAAUUCUUACCUAGAAUCUUAAGUUAAGUAGACCAUAAACGGAGUUUAACUUUAGACAAUCACUUUAUUAACUUUAGGUGUCAUAAUUCAUCAUAAAUAAUUAGGUGACAAUUUCUUAUUUUUAAUUAACCCCAGAAUUACCGGAAUGUUGUAAACCAUUUUGAAUCCUGUUAAAAUGGGGUAUAACACCCUGGUUGAUUGAAUAUGGACCUGUUUUUGUGGUUAGGACCAUUAUUGAAUGAUUUUUUUUUUGAGAUGUUUAAACUAGUUUAAAUAAACUAGAUAGAUCAAAAUAGACUAUGAAAUCCUAUGUUAAGAUGCCAAUGAAGUUUUUGUGGAAAAGAAAAAGUUCUGUGUGGUUCUGAGUAUAAAACAAAGUUUAUAAUUCUUUUUAACUACUAAAACUGUUAAGAUUUGGUAUUUGGUGAAGAUAUAAGACCUUGAGCUUGGUUGUUGUUUAUAAAGUUUCCAGUUUUUGUCAAAAAAAAAAAAAAUCAUCGUUAUGGUGAAAUUCUAAGAAAGGCGACAACUAUGGGGGCUUAACGGUGUCUCCACCUUCUCGCAACUUGGGAACCUUUCAAGCCAAGCCAAAAUCAUCGUACGCAUCGCGUAAGCAAUAGAAGUGUGAGCAAGCAAAUAGGGCCAGAUCGCUAUAGCGGUACCAUGGACGCUACAGCGGCGCUGCUGUGGCGGUAUACCAACCGCCGUAGCGGUAGCCGCAUGGGACUGCUUGGCCGCUAUAGCAGUAUGUUGGCUGCCCUGGCGGUACCGCUGCAGCGGCAGGCCUACCACCUGGGCGGUUUCGCACAGUUAAUUCCACCUAUUUAAGUGACAUUCGGGAAUUGACUUCAUUUUUGAAAACCCUAGAGAGUCCAACCUCCUUUGGAGUAAUUUUGGAGCCAAAAAUGAAACUUCCUUGGGAAAGAUUAUUUCCCUAACCUCUUCCCUCCAUUCUCCCAAACAUUGAUUCUCAUUAAUGAUCUUUGUCUAGAAUCACAAAUGGGAAUCUCCAAUCCCUUAAGUUCCAAAGAUGACGAACCCUUGUUCUUCUUGAUGUAAAGUCCUUGGAAUAUCUUCCUAUGAUCAUCAUCCUAACAUGAUUUCAAACCUAAUCCUUCACCUACCCUAUUAAAAUACCUUUGGUCUCUAUUUUUAGAUCUUAGAAAUGGGUUUCUUGAAAUAAGCCUAAAAUGGAAAUUUGACCAAACUAGUAACUUGAGUAAGGUCACGAAUGUCCUAAAUGAAGGUCGAUCUAUCAACUAGUGUGUGAUAGAUGUAUUCUUGGGUAGGAUAAAAACUCAUAUCUACCUUAGCAAUUUCAAAGUCCUUAAAUGGUGAAUUCUACUCUUGGGUCUCAUGGUCGUUUCCAAGCUCUCCAUAUGGUUUAUGCAGUGGUGAUUAAUUGAGGCGUCAUUGGAUGUUCGUGGAACCCGCUCGUCCAUGAGAUUGUUUCAGGUGAUUGAUCGAAGUAUAUGCGGAAUUUAUGCGGUGCUUGUCUGGAAGGCCUCCUCCCAUUUCAUUCUGGGAUUGGAGGUUGAGUCUUAGUAUAUGAUGACACUCUGAAAUUCAUUUAGUCGCUCUUGUAUUAAUCUAGACCAGGUCAUGGGAAAUUGUAUCGAGUCUUUAAAAAUGUAUUGUCAAAUUAUGUAAUAAUCGAGUUUGUAUUUAUAGAUGAAAUUCCGUUGAUUUUCUUAAUUUUGAAUGCUUUUGAAAGGAAAUUUAUGUGAUUGAAGUGUUGUAUAAAUGAGAGGGUUCGCCUACCAAGGUGGGAAGGUAGGUGCCCGCACGAGCCCAAAACGGGUCGUGACACAAAUUUAGAACUUUGUUCAAAGAUUUUGAGGUUUCAAAGGCUGUAUAGGUGUAGGUUAGAAUUAAAAUGAAGAUAGAUGCCUUUGAAGAUUCUUAACUUUGCCUAGUAGUUCAAUAGGAGAUUGAAUUUAUCUUA